GUGACAGCCCCGUACACAAAAGCGCAUGUGCUGUGAGCUCGAUGAGUAGGGCGGGACACGUGGUAUCCUGUCUGAAUAUGGGGGGACCAUCCUCCAAGGCUAAAUACUCCUGACUGACCGAUAGUGAACCAGUACCGUGAGGGAAAGGCGAAAAGAACCCCGGCGAGGGGAGUGAAAAAGAACCUGAAACCGUGUACGUACAAGCAGUGGGAGCCCCACCACCAAAGCAUUCUCUGGUGUUGAAGGCCCUGCAAAGCAGCAUCGCGGUGGCGGAGCGUCGUUUGCGACGCCCAACACACAAAACAAGCGGUGAGUGCUUUGGGGUGGGGUGACUGCGUACCUUUUGUAUAAUGGGUCAGCGACUUAUAUUCUGUAGCAAGGUUAACCGCAUAGGGGAGCCGCAGGGAAACCGAGUCUUAACCGGGCGUUAAGUUGCAGGGUAUAGACCCGAAACCCGGUGAUCUAGCCAUGGGCAGGUUGAAGGUUGGGUAACACUAACUGGAGGACCGAACCGACUAAUGUUGAAAAAUUAGCGGAUGACCUGUGGCUGGGGGUGAAAGGCCAAUCAAACCGGGAGAUAGCUGGUUCUCCCCGAAAGCUAUUUAGGUAGCGCCUCGUGAAUUCAUCUUCGGGGGUAGAGCACUGUUUCGGCUAGGGGGUCAUCCCGACUUACCAACCCGAUGCAAACUGCGAAUACCGAAGAAUGUUAUCACGGGAGACACACGGCGGGUGCUAACGUCCGUCGUGAAGAGGGAAACAACCCAGACCGCCAGCUAAGGUCCCAAAGUCAUGGUUAAGUGGGAAACGAUGUGGGAAGGCCCAGACAGCCAGGAUGUUGGCUUAGAAGCAGCCAUCAUUUAAAGAAAGCGUAAUAGCUCACUGGUCGAGUCGGCCUGCGCGGAAGAUGUAACGGGGCUAAACCAUGCACCGAAGCUGCGGCAGCGACGCUGAUGCGUUGUUGGGUAGGGGAGCGUUCUGUAAGCCUGUGAAGGUGU
rnacentral:rRNA from 1 species